CCGCAAACCGACACAGGUGGGUGAGGAGAGUAUCCUAAGGCCAGCGAGAGAACUGUUGUUAAGGAACUCGGCAAAAUGACCCCGUAACUUAGGGAUAAGGGGGGCCACCAUCAGGUGGCCGCAGAGAAUAGGCCCAAGCGACUGUUUACCAAAAACAUAGGUUUCUGCUAAGUCGCAAGACGAUGUAUAGGAGCUGACGCCUGCCCG
rnacentral:rRNA from 1 species